GCAGUGCUGGUCCUCUUAGGAAGUCAACUGAUGGUCAAUGGGUCAGUGCCUUAUGUGCUGAGAUAAAACUUAUUAAUUAUUUUGUUGAUAAUUCAUUAGGUGAAAGAAGGUGUUUUACCUAUAGUUUCCUUACUCUAGUUGGAAUGUAUUUAAACUUGUUCCUUUUUUUCUUUUUUUUAUGUUGUAGUGGGUUUUAUAAACUACAUUUAGAAGGGGACGAGUGAAUUUUGUUGAGGGAAUAGUAUGUGAAUGUGCUUGGAGUACCAUUUACAAUAAAAAUGGAAUUUUGUCGUGCAUUUCAUUGCUACGAAAAAAGGUGGUGAUGAAUACUUCCUCCAUCCCACAAAUAUAGUCUACCACGAAAAGGUGUGCAAUUUUAAGAUAAAAAAACAAAGUACUUAUGUGCAUAAUUUUUUUUGUAUUUUUUUGGCACAAAAUAGAGAUUUAAUCUUUAAUUUGGUGUCAAGAAAUUUUAAAACUAUGCAUGGAAGUACUUUGUUUUUUAUUCGAAAAUUUCACACCUUUUGCUAUGGACUAUCUUUGCGGGCCAGAGGGAGUAGUUUUUUUGCAAUGGUUUAAAAACAUUGGGAAUAAGCUGGAAUUUGAGUCAGUCUUGAAGGGGAGUGUUGUUUGUUACAUCUGUCAUCGCAAACAAGGUGUCUGCAUAAAGUUUUCAUGGUCCGCAAUGCAAUUAUGGCCACUGUCAGAGCACUUUUCACCCCACUUGUGCUAGAACUGCUUUUUGUUACAUGAAUAUGAAGACAAGUGGUAGCAAGUUGCAACACAAGGCACAUUGAAAUGGUAUAGGGUUUGUUGGCUUGUUGACUAAAUUAGUGUAACUAACUAAAAUAAUCAGUUCAUUUCUAUAUAGUAGAUUUUCCUUUUUUCAUUACGUUAUAAUUUUCUUUGAGUAAUGUAAGAUUUGUGUGGUCCCUUGUCUGU